UUUUUUUUUUUUUUUUUUUUGCUAUGAGAAAAAGAAGCUUGCAUAGAUUUUUUUUUGUUGUUGUUAAGGUAUCACUUAUGUACCCUUGGCUGGCCAGGAUCUCACUAUGUAGACCAGGCUGCCCUGGAAUUCAUAAGAGAUUCACCUGCCUCUCUGCCUUUUGAGUGCUGCGAAGGAUUAAAGGUGUGUCCCUUCUUUUUCAACCUGGGGUCAUAGCAUUGCAGAAUACACUGCUUCCCGCUGCCUCAGUGAUUGCUCAGACAUCUGGUCUGUGCUUAUUAAUGCAUUAGCAGUGGAAAAGCUUAAGACUUUGAGACCAUAUGAUCAAAGAGGAUCGUGGUGACGUGGGCUUUGGGAGACCCUGACCUUAGUCUCCAGGGAGGGCCACUGUCAGCCUUGGACAGUAUGGAUAUAGGAGAGGCUGCCAGCUCUGCUUAUUGUACACUGGGAUCCUUUUUCCAGUGCAGCCUGAGCAAGCACCUCCCAGAGUUCUGAGCAGGACCCGCCCCCUGCCAGACAGUAUGGAAAGUAAGAGUGGUGUGAGUCACCCUGGAGCCCGGACCGUGAGCCAGGCUCUAAAGUAGGCCUGCCACCACUUGGGCAGGCUCUUGAAGGCUGAUGCCCCUAGGGGCACAGGGGAUCUGAUGUGAGUCUCUUUAAAAGGGACCAGAAUUAGUCAGGGUCCCUCUCUGACCAGUUCCCUAAGCCUGAGGUGAUUCAGCACUGGCCAGGUGGCUGGAGAAGGAGGCUUCUGGCUGACCUCGGCUGACUAGCUGUCUCGGCUCUCUAGCUGUCUUCAAUCUGGUUGCAAAGCUAAGGAGCGUCUCUGGAAGGAAGUUGCUGGUGAGUGGUGAGGCUUCCUGCAGGACAGGUUGGGCUGCAGCCCAUCUGCUGCCUGGAGGGACAGUGGCUGGUCUUUUCCAUCCCCCAAGUUACUUCCUUGCAGCCUCGCUGAUCCUGUGGUCCUUAUGUGGUGCUUUGUAGAGGAAAAAGGAGGGCCUCCUAGGGAAGCAUCUAUGGUCCCCAUGGGCCAGACGCUUGUCUCCAAAAUGUUUAUGUGUUGAGAUAGCCAUAGGCGACUUCCUUUCUUGUAUAAGGUUGUCAUGGAUCAAGAGGACAUUUGUUUUUUGGGAACUUGACCCAUAGAUUUUUCUAAAGUUUUCUUCCCCCAGCAGUGCUGGGAAUCAAGCAAUCCCAAGGCCUAGAUGCUAGGCAACUUCUUUGCCUCUGAAUAUUGACUGUAAUUGUAAAUGGUGUCCUGAUUAAAAGAGAAAACAUUAGCAUCAAUGCUGGGUAUGGUGGCACAUAUAUCUUUAAUCCCAGCACUCAGAAAGCAGAGGCUGGCAAAUCUCUGUGAGUUCAAGGCCAGCCUGGUCCACAUAGACUCUGUCUUUGAAAAAAGAAGCCAGACCAAAUCAAAAAGCCCCCUCUGUUGAGUUUGUUUACAGUUGUAGUGUGUCAGAGCCGAAGGGGUCUUGGGUGUAGCGUUUAAAGGAAUAUUGUUUUCUUCCCAUGUUGAUGAGUACUUGCCCAGGAUGCAUGCUGAGAGUUGCUCUUGGCUUCACUCAGUCCGGAGAAAGUGCUUGUGACUGACACCAUCUUUCCUGGCUUUCGUGGGUAUCCCUUAGCUUGCCCUCAAAAACCUCCUUCCUUCCCCUAAAACAUCUCUUCUGAGGCAGUAAGUUAAAGAAUGGAGGAGGAGUGGGGUUUGUCUGAACUUCUUCCAGUUGGGUGGGGCCCUUGGGCAAAACAGUUUCCCAAAGCU
rnacentral:lncRNA from 1 species